rnacentral:rRNA from 1 species
GAUUACCUACGGGGGGCAGCAGUGGGGAAUGUUGCACAAUGGGCGAAGGCCUGAUGCAGCAACGCCGCGUGAGCGAUGAAGGCCUUCGGGUCGUAAAGCUCUGUCCUCAAGGAAGAUAAUGACGGUACUUGAGGAGGAAGCCCCGGCUAACUACGUGCCAGCAGCCGCGGUAAUACGUAGGGGGCUAGCGUUAUCAGGAAUUACUGGGCGUAAAGGGUGCGGAGGUGGUUUCUUAAGUCAGAGGCGAAAGGCUACGGCUCAACCGUAGUAAGCCUUUGAAACUGGUGAACUUGA